rnacentral:rRNA from 1 species
ACAUUUGAGUGAGUGGCGGACGGAUGAGUAACACGUGGGUAACCUGCCCUAAAGUGGGGGAUAACAUUUGGAAACAGAUGCUAAUACCCGCAUAAAACCUAACACCGCAUGGUGUAGGGUUGAAAGAUGGUUUCGGCCUAUCACUUUAGGAUGGACCCGCGGUGCAUUAGUUAGUUUGGUGAGGUAAAGGCUCACCAAGACCGUGAUGC